rnacentral:rRNA from 1 species
CAGCCGCCGCGGUAAUACAGAGGGUGCGAGCGUUAAUCGGAUUUACUGGGCGUAAAGCGUGCGUAGGCGGCUAAUUGAGUCGGAUGUGAAAUCCCCGAGCUUAACUUGGGAAUUGCAUUCGAUACUGGUUAGCUAGAGUGUGGGAGAGGAUGGUAGAAUUCCAGGUGUAGCGGUGAAAUGCGUAGAGAUCUGGAGGAAUACCGAUGGCGAAGGCAGCCAUCUGGCCUAACACUGACGCUGAGGUACGAAAGCAUGGGGAGCAAACAGGAUUAGAUACCCCGGUAGUCCCUGUCUCUUAUAC